rnacentral:lncRNA from 1 species
GGAAUUGAGAAUAACAGACAGAUAAACUUCUUGGCAGCAGCAGGGACUUUAGAGUAUCUUUUGGUCAGGGACCCUAGGCCCCUUUGCAAGGGAAAGUGGUCCCUGUGAAACACUAGGUGGGCUUGCAUGGGAGUUUUCUGAGGGGCUGACUGAGAGGCAUGAACUAAGGUGAUGAUAUCCCUAUUGACUUCUGCAAUCUUUGAAUUCAUUGAGGCUUAAGGCUUCUGUCUAGCCCCACAGAAUGCGCGGGAACCCAUGAAUUAUCUAAAUCAAUCACUGUGAUGUUUAAUCAGUUUUGCAAUAAUUUCAUGUGUAUCUUGUUUCUUCAACUAAACCCUAAUCUUUUUUUUUUUAAAUGGACUCUGUUCACAAUUUCGUUUAUUUAUUUAUUUUUGGUACCGGGGAUCGAACUCGGGACCUUGCACUUGGGAGGCAGGCGCGGAACCACUGAGCUAAACCCCCAGCCCUAAACCCUAAUCUUUAAGAACCAAAGCUGUGCAGUUCCUCUCAUGGCAGCCUCAGGGCCCAUGCCUAUGGGAUGUGUUCAUUCUGCCCAAAUUUGUCCAGAAACACAUCCCUUUCUUCAUAUACCUAAGUAGAACCUAGGCGUGGUGGCACAUGCCUGUAAUCCCAGCACUCAGGUGGCUGAGGCAGGAGGAUGGCCCUGAGUCUGAGGCCAGCCUGGGCUACAUAGUGAGUUCAAGGCCAGCCUGGACUAUAUAGUGAGAUUGUCUCAAAAACAAAAAUAAAAACCAAGUAGAGUCUAUCUCCUAUCUCUGGAAUCCAUCUUCUUUUCUCAGAGUUGUCAUUACUCAUUGCCUAGACUGCUGGGGAAAUUUCCUAACUCUCCUAUUUCCACUUAUGCCCUCCAUACACUGCAGUCAGAUUGAGCUCUGAAAAAUCAAAAAUCUUACUUCCCUCAACUUUUUCAGUGACUCCCAUUUGCUUCUGGAAUAAAAUUUUAAAUUCAAAGACCCUGCAUACAUCAGGUCCGGUCUACUUUGCAUAUCUUAUAACUGUUCCAUUUCCCUAUGUCGCCAAUACCCUGAGUGGCUCAGACAAUACCUAUUGUCUUCUUGCUUCAGAAUUUUUACAAAGACUGUUUGCUCAGUGCCCCCUUCCUUUCACUUUCCACCUAGCUGAUCCUAAAUGUUUCUUACUCAGGGAAGACUUUCUGAUUUCUCAAGAUAGGUUAAGACUUUCUUUUAAGUCUUUAUCUCUAUGCAUUUUUCAGAGUUAUUACUUUUGUAAAAUUUUGCAUGUAAUUGGCUGGUUGGCUGCUAGAUUGUAAGCUCUUAAGGGCAGAAAUCUAGUCCAUCUUGUUCUUUGCUAUAGUCCCACUGCUGGGCACACAGCUGCUCAAUAAAUUUUGAUUGAACUUGGAU